rnacentral:misc_RNA from 1 species
UAACCAAUCACGCAAGUGGUAUUGGGGCCUGCCGUCGGCAUUCCUUAAAAUAAGUGGCAGUGCUAUAGGCUCUCAGCGCAGUAAUUAUUUCGCUCUUGAGUCCUAGAACCACCCGCCAAAACCCUAAUUUUUUCA